rnacentral:rRNA from 3 species
GGGUUGUGAGGUUAAGCGACUAAGCGUACACGGUGGAUGCCCUGGCAGUCAGAGGCGAUGAAGGGCGUGCUAAUCUGCGAUAAGCGCCGGUAAGGUGAUAUGAACCGUUAUAACCGGCGAUACCCGAAUGGGGAAACCCAGUGUGAUUCGUCACACUAUCAUUAACUGAAUCCAUAGGUUAAUGAGGCGAACCGGGGGAACUGAAACAUCUAAGUACCCCGAGGAAAAGAAAUCAACCGAGAUUCCCCCAGUAGCGGCGAGCGAACGGGGAGGAGCCCAGAGCCUGAAUCAGCAUGUGUGUUAGUGGAAGCGUCUGGAAAGGCGCGCGAUACAGGGUGACAGCCCCGUACACAAAAGCGCAUGUGCUGUGAGCUCGAUGAGUAGGGCGGGACACGUGGUAUCCUGUCUGAAUAUGGGGGGACCAUCCUCCAAGGCUAAAUACUCCUGACUGACCGAUAGUGAACCAGUACCGUGAGGGAAAGGCGAAAAGAACCCCGGCGAGGGGAGUGAAAAAGAACCUGAAACCGUGUACGUACAAGCAGUGGGAGCACAGGUUUACCUGUGUGACUGCGUACCUUUUGUAUAAUGGGUCAGCGACUUAUAUUCUGUAGCA